CCUGAUCCAGCAAUGCCGCGUGAGUGAAGAAGGCCUUCGGGUUGUAAAGCUCUUUCAGUNGAGAAGAAAAGAUNGUGACUAAUAAUCAUGAUUNAUGACGGUAUCAACAGAAGAAGCACCGGCUAACUACGUGCCAGCAGCCGCGGUAAUA
rnacentral:rRNA from 1 species